CUUUGGCAGUUCCUUUUAAGGAAAGGUGGUAGUUAAGACUUUGUAAAGGCCAGGGAACUAGCUACGAUUCUCUCAGCGGGUAAUUGGCUGCUCCUAGGUUUGUGUAACAAGCGGCAAAACUGUCUCUCUUCUCCUGAAGUUUGAAAUGCUUUAUCUCAUCGGCUUGGGCCUGGGAGAUGCCAAGGACAUCACAGUCAAGGGCCUGGAAGUUGUUAGACGCUGCAGUCGCGUGUAUCUGGAAGCCUACACCUCAGUCCUGACUGUAGGGCAGGAAGCUUUGGAAGAGUUUUAUGGAAGAAAAUUGAUUCUUGCUGAUAGAGAAGAAGUGGAACAAGAAGCAGAUAAUAUUUUAAAGGAUGCUGAUAUCAGUGAUGUUGCAUUCCUUGUGGUUGGUGAUCCAUUUGGUUAUAUAAGUUUGGAGAGACCGUUUCUAUUGUUUUUUGGACAGACACUUGGAGACCAGAAAGCUUCUUUGACAAAGUGAAGAAGAACAGACAAAAUGGCAUGCACACAUUAUGUUUACUAGACAUCAAAGUAAAGGAGCAGUCUUUGGAAAAUCUAAUCAAGGGAAGGAAGAUCUAUGAACCUCCACGGUAUAUGAGUGUAAACCAGGCAGCCCAGCAGCUUCUGGAGAUUGUUCAAAAUCAAAGAAUACGAGGAGAAGAACCAGCAAUUACCGAGGAGACACUUUGCGUUGGCUUAGCCAGGGUUGGAGCCGACGACCAGAAAAUUGCAGCAGGCACUUUACAGCAAAUGUGUACUGUGGACUUGGGAGAACCAUUGCAUUCCUUGAUCAUCACAGGAGGCAGCAUACAUCCAAUGGAGAUGGAGAUGCUAAGUCUGUUUUCCAUACCAGAAAAUAGCUCAGAAUCUCAAAGCAUCAAUGGACUUUGAACAUAGAUAUUUACUAUUGUCUGAUGUAAAUUUCAGCCAUAUAUAGAUUGAUAUGGUUUGGCUGUAUCCCCACCC
rnacentral:sRNA from 1 species